rnacentral:rRNA from 1 species
AUUGAACGCUUGCGGCAUGCCUUACACAUGCAAGUCGAACGGCAGCACGGGAGCAAUCCUGGUGGCGAGUGGCGAACGGGUGAGUAAUAUAUCGGAACGUGCCCAGUAGUGGGGGAUAGCCCGGCGAAAGCCGGAUUAAUACCGCAUACGACCUAAGGGUGAAAGCGGGGGACCGUAAGGCCUCGCGCUAUUGGAGCGGCCGAUAUCAGAUUAGGUAGUUGGUUGGGUAAAAGCCUACCAAGCCAUCGAUCUUUAGCUGGUCUGAGAGGACGACCAGCCAGACGAGUACUGAGACACGGCCCAGGCUCCUACUGGAGGCAGCAGUGGGGAAUUUUGCACUAUGGGCGACGGCCUGAACCAGCCAUGCCGCGUGCAGGAAGAAGGCCUUCGGGUUGUAAACUGCUAUUGUCGGGAAAGAAACGAUCUGGGCUAAUACCCUGGGGUAAUGACGGUACCCGAAGAAUAAGCACCGGCUAACUACGUGCCAGCAGCCGCCGUAA